rnacentral:tRNA from 1 species
CGGAGCGUAGCGCAGCCUGGUAGCGCACCUGGUUUGGGACCAGGGGGUCGGAGGUUCGAACCCUCUCGCUCCGACCA